rnacentral:lncRNA from 1 species
UACACACAUGUGCAUGGGGCGCACACGCCAGUUGUUGUCCGCCUGCAUGCUCGCGCACGUUGUGGCAUGCAGAGCUGUCUGUCUGCACAUGCAUAGAUCCUACUCAUGCAUGUGUCUUGUCUCGUGCACAUGCACAUAACUGUGGGGCGUGCGAGUGCUGCUGCGUGCUUAGUCGUACGGGUGAGGUGCUUGCAUGUGUGGGUGCCCCAACUCACACGUGUGGAAGGG